rnacentral:rRNA from 1 species
UACGCAGGGGGCUAGCGUUGCUCGGAAUCACUGGGCGUAAAGCGCACGUAGGCGGCUUUUUAAGUCAGGGGUGAAAUCCUGGAGCUCAACUCCAGAACUGCCUUUGAUACUGAGAAGCUUGAGUCCGGGAGAGGUGAGUGGAACUGCGAGUGUAGAGGUGAAAUUCGUAGAUAUUCGCAAGAACACCAGUGGCGAAGGCGGCUCACUGGCCCGGUACUGACGCUGAGGUGCGAAAGCGUGGGGAGCGAACAGG